UCCAUUCCAAUCCGUCCCCCUCUCUCCCACUUCCUUGUCUUCCUCUCCUUCUCCAGUUUUCCCUCUCCUUUCUCUCCUCAAUUCUGUUGCACCUGAAAUUUCAAUUUACUGCAACGAGGGAAAAAAGCACCGAAGUCGAAACCAAGAUAAGUUGAAACCCCGGCAAUCUGAUCGGACGGUUGAGCAGCGGAGAAUGAGCACGAAGAAGAAGACGGCGCAGGGUCAGACGAGGACACGUGUCGGGAAGUACGAGCUGGGAAGAACCUUGGGUGAGGGUAGUUUUGCGAAGGUUAAGUUCGCCAAGAAUGUUGAGACCGGAGAGUGCGUGGCUAUUAAAAUCCUGGACCGUGACCAAGUUCUCCGUCACCGAAUGGUCGAACAGAUAAAAAGAGAAAUAUCAACAAUGAAGCUUAUCAAGCAUCCCAAUGUCAUUAAAAUAUUUGAGGUUAUGGCAAGCAAGACAAAGAUUUAUAUCGUGAUCGAGUUUGUUGAUGGAGGCGAGCUUUUCGACAAAAUUGCCAAGCGUGGGAGACUAAAAGAGGAUGAAGCUAGAAGCUAUUUUCAUCAGCUUAUUAAUGCUGUUGAUUACUGCCACAGUAGAGCCGUCUACCAUAGAGAUUUGAAGCCUGAGAAUCUUCUUCUGGACUCGUUUGGUGUUCUUAAGAUUUCAGAUUUUGGAUUGAGUGCUUUCUCGCAGCAAGUUCGGGAAGAUGGGUUGCUUCACACGGCCUGUGGGACUCCAAAUUAUGUUGCUCCAGAGGUGCUCAAAGAUAAAGGUUAUGAUGGUACAUCAUCUGAUAUUUGGUCUUGUGGAGUUAUUCUCUUCGUACUUAUGGCUGGCUAUUUGCCUUUUGAUGAGCCAAAUCUUGCAGCCUUGUAUAAAAAAAUCUGGAUGGCUGAUUUCACCUGUCCAUCAUGGUUUUCAUCUGGUGCAAGGAAAUUGAUUAAGCGUAUUCUUGAUCCAAACCCUCUUACACGUAUAAGUAUUCCUGAAAUUCUACAAGAUGAAUGGUUCAAGAAAGGGUACAAGCCACCACAAUUUGAGCAGGAAGAGGAUGUAAAUCUUGAUGACAUAGAUGCGGUUUUUAAUGACUCAAAUGAGCACCUUGUAACAGAAAGGAAAGAGAAACCCGUAUCAAUGAAUGCUUUUGAGCUUAUCUCUAGGUCACAAAGCUUCAGUCUCGACAAUUUGUUUGAGAAGCAGACGGGUCAUGUUAAGCGAGAAACCAGUUUUGCUUCCCAAUGUCCUCCAAAUGAAAUUAUCUCCAAAAUUGAGGAAGCUGCUAAGCCUCUGGGCUUUAAUGUUCACAAGAGAAACUACAAGAUGAAGUUGAAAGGUGACAAAAGUGGGAGAAAGGGCCAGCUUUCUGUUGCUACCGAGGUGUUUGAGGUGGCUCCCUCCUUGCACAUGGUGGAGCUCCGGAAAACUGGUGGUGACACCUUGGAGUUUCACAAGGUAUCGUUUUGGCUAUGAUCUGAGCCAAAUAUCCACUUGAAUUUUGUCCAUUCUACAAAACUUUUGCAUCUGGAUUGAAAGAUAUAGUCUGGACAUCUGAAGAAAUUGCUGAAGGGCAAAGGCCAUAGCAAAAACUACAUCUUGUUUGGUUCAUGCUUGCUUUAGCCUAGUGCACAUAUUUUUCUUAGAGUGUCAGUGUAUACUGUUGGUUGCGCCUUUGGGGAAGGGAAUUAAGUGCCUCAAAACGUGAGGCAUGGUUCAUUGCCAACUUUCUUAUAUAAAGUGGAAGAUUUUUAUUUCCUUAAGAAGUAACCAAACCCAUUGAAAUUUUGCCAGUAGGUUAUUGUUCGUCAGAUGGAGAAAUGCUCUUUUUUAUGCUAUAUUUCGAGCAAUUAUUGUUUUUAUUAAAUUAAUUUUAAGUACUGACUAUUGAUCCUCGGAUAAAUUUGUGA